UACGUAGGGGGCUAGCGUUGUCCGGAAUCAUUGGGCGUAAAGCGCGUGUAGGCGGCCCGGUAAGUCCGCUGUGAAAGUCGGGGGCUCAACCCUCGGAUGCCGGUGGAUACUGUCGGGCUUGAGUGCGGAAGAGGCGAGUGGAAUUCCUGGUGUAGCGGUGAAAUGCGCAGAUAUCAGGAGGAACACCAAGUGCGAAGGCAGCUCGCUGGGACGUUACUGACGCUGAGACGCGAAAGCGUGGGGAGCAAACAGG
rnacentral:rRNA from 1 species